AGUGAACGCUGGCGGUAGGCCUAACACAUGCAAGUCGAACGGCAGCACAGUAAGAGCUUGCUCUUACGGGUGGCGAGUGGCGGACGGGUGAGGAAUACAUCGGAAUCUACUUUUUCGUGGGGGAUAACGUAGGGAAACUUACGCUAAUACCGCAUACGACCUACGGGUGAAAGCAGGGGAUCUUCGGACCUUGCGCGAUUGAAUGAGCCGAUGUCGGAUUAGCUAGUUGGCGGGGUAAAGGCCCACCAAGGCGACGAUCCGUAGCUGGUCUGAGAGGAUGAUCAGCAAAACUGGAACUGAGACACGGUCCAGACUCCUACGGGAGGCAGCAGUGGGGAAUAUUGGACAAUGGGCGCAAGCCUGAUCCAGCAAUACCGCGUGGGUGAAGAAGGCCUUCGGGUUGUAAAGCCCUUUUGUUGGGAAAGAAAAGCAGCAGGUUAAUACCCCGCUGUUCUGACGGUACCCAAAGAAUAAGCACCGGCUAACUUCGUG
rnacentral:rRNA from 1 species